rnacentral:lncRNA from 1 species
ACCCCGCCGCGGGGGGGGCGCGAGGCGGGGCGGGGCGGCGGCGGGGCGAGCCCCCGCCCGGCCCCUCCCCUCUGCCUCGCGCGGCUGCCGUCGGCAGGGCGCGUGCGCUGCGCAGGCGCGCGGGCAGCCGGCACCUGCGCCCGGCGGGUCAGGUGGGCGGCGGCGGCGGCGGCGGCGCGGAGGGAGGUAAGGGCGGGCGGGCCCGGCGCCAUUUGCCCCCCGCUCCAGCCCCCAGCCGCUUCUUGGGGCUGGUGGGCCGCCUCUUUCCCCCGGCCCUCUUCCGAAGGGCCCCGCGGCGGGGUGCAGCCCCUCGGCUAUGGCCGUCCCGUCCCGUUCCCCCCCCCCCCCCUGCGCCUCUCGGACGCUCCGGCCUGGGGGUCCGGCUGCGGGUCGGGAGAAGGCCGGGCAGCCAGGCAAGGGCCCGCCGGAGGGUCUCGCCUCCUUUCGAGCUGGGAGCCGGGGCGCGGGGAGGGGGGGCCCAGCGUGCAGCUCCUACGCACGCACCCAUCCCUCUGUUUUUAUCUGCAAACAGGUUCUGGCGUGCUGCGUGAGGGGUUUUGGUCCUGCUGCAAGUCGAGUGACUGUUACGCUGGAGGAAGGUGUUCCUUGGACAGUCCUGGAGACAGAAGCACUGUGUUUCUAGAGCAGCAAACUGGUCUGUGA